UACAGGGGGUGCAAACGUUGCCCGGAAUCAUUGGGCGUAAAGCGCACGUAGGCGGUUCGUUAAGUCGGAUGUGAAAGCCCUUGGCUUAACCGAGGAAGUGCAUCCGAAACUGGCGAGCUAGAGUACGAAAGAGGAUCGCGGAAUUCCCGGUGUAGAGGUGAAAUUCGUAGAUAUCGGGAGGAACACCGGUGGCGAAGGCGGCGAUCUGGGUCGAUACUGACGCUGAGGUGCGAAAGCGUGGGGAGCAAACAGG
rnacentral:rRNA from 1 species